rnacentral:rRNA from 1 species
GUCUACACUGUAAACACUGAAUGCUAAAAUUUAAAUAUGUUUUUAGAUUUUAUAAGCUAACGCAAUAAGCAUUCCGCCUGAAGAGUACGUUCGCAAGAUUGGAACUCAAAGGAAUUGACGGGGGCCUAUCCUAGCGGUGGAGCAUGUGGUUUAAUGCGAUAAUACGCGCGAAAUCUUACCAAUUUUUGUUAUAUAAAAAAUUUAUUAAUAAUUUUUUACUAAAUUUUAACAAUUUUAUGUUGAUAAUUUUUAUACAGGUGUUGCACGACUGUCGU